UACGUAGGGGGCGAGCGUUGUCCGGAAUCAUUGGGCGUAAAGCGCGUGUAGGCGGCCAUCCAAGUCCGAUGUGAAAGCUCGGGGCUCAACCCCGAGUCUGCAUUGGAAACUGGAUGGCUUGAGUCCGGAAGAGGAGACUGGAAUUCCUGGUGUAGCGGUGAAAUGCGCAGAUAUCAGGAAGAACACCGGUGGCGAAGGCGGGUCUCUGGGACGGUACUGACGCUGAGACGCGAAAGCGUGGGGAGCAAAC
rnacentral:rRNA from 1 species